AGCCCGACGAUGAGGCCUGGAACGGGAGCCAAGCGUGGAGGCCUCAUGAUGCGACACCCUGGCAUGCAUUAUGCUCCUAUGGGAAUGCACCCUAUGGGUCAGAGAGCAAAUAUGCCACCUGUACCUCAUGGAAUGAUCCCUCAGAUGAUGCCCCCUAUGGGAGGACCACCAAUGGGACAAAUGCCUGGAAUGAUGUCUUCAGUUAUGCCCGGGAUGAUGAUGUCGCAUAUGUCUCAGGCUUCCAUGCAGCCUGCUUUACCACCAGGAGUAAAUAAUAUGGAUGUAGCAGCAGGUACUACAUCUGGUGCAAAAUAAAUGGGACAGAACAUAAAUCACCUGAUGGAAGGACUUACUAUUACAAUACUGAAACAAAGCAGUCUACUUGGGAGAAACCAGAUGAUCUUAAAACACCUGCUGAGCAACUGUUAUCUAAAUGGAAGGAAUACAAAUCUGAAUCUGUAAAGUCUUACUAUUACAAUUCUCAAACAAAAGAAUCACGCUGGACCAAACCUAAAGAACUUGAGGAUCUUGAAGCGAUGGUCAAAGCUGAGGAAAGCAGUAAGCAAGAAGAGUCCACUACUACAUCAGCAGCCCCUGUUCCUACAACAGAAAUUUCGACCACAAUGAGCACUAUGGCUGCUGCAGAAGCAGCUGCUGCAGCCGCCGCCAAUGCCAAUACUUCCACUUCUACUUCAAAUACUGUCGGUGGAACAGUUCCAGUUGUUAGUGAACCUGAAGUCACUUGCAUUGUUGCUACUGUUGUUGAUAAUGAUAAUACAGUAAAUAUUUCAACUGAAGAACAAGCACAACUUUCUAGUAGUACCCCUGCUAUUCAAGAGCAAAGUGUUGAAGUAUUCAGUAAUACAGAAGAAACCUCUAAGCAGGAAACUUUAGCUGACUUUACUACCAAAAAAGAAGAGGAAGAAAGCCAGCCACCCAAAAAGACUUAUACCUGGAAUACAAAGGAAGAAGCAAAGCAGGUCUUUAAAGAAUUAUUAAAAGAAAAGAGAGUACCAUCUAAUGCUUUGUGGGAGCGAGCUAUGAAAAUGAUCAUUAAUGACCCACGAUACAGUGCUUUAGCAAAGUUAAGUGAAAAGAAACAGGCCUUUAAUGCUUAUAAAGUCCAAACUGAGAAAGAAGAAAAAGAAGAGGCACGAUCAAAAUACAAAAAAGCUAAAGAAUCUUUUCAGCAUUUUCUUGAAAAUCAUGAAAAAAUGACUUCUACAACUAGAUACAAAAAAGCAUAGCAAAUGUUUGGAGAGAUGGAUGUCUGGAAUGCAAUAUCAGAACGUGAUCGUCUUGAAAUCUAUGAAGACGUUUUGUUUUUUCUUUCAAAAAAAGAAAAGGAACAAGCAAAGCAGUUGCGGAAGAGAAACUGGGAAACCUUAAAAAAUAUACUUGACAAUAUGGCUAAUGCAACAUACUCUACGACACGGUCUGAAGCACAACAAUAUUUGAUGGAUAAUCCAACUUUUGCAGAAGAUGAGGAGUUACAAAACAUGGACAAAGAAGAUGCAUUAAUUUUCUUUGAAGAACACAUUCGGGCUUUAGAAAAAAGAAGAAGAGGAGGAGAAACAGAAAAGCAUGCUGAGAGAAAGGAGACAACAAGGUAAAAAUAGGGAAUCUUUUCAGAUAUUUUUAGAUAAAUUGCAUGAACAUGGACAACUACUUUCUAUGUCAUCUUGGAUGGAAUUGUACCCAACAAUUAGUUCUGACAUUAGAUUCACUAAUAUGCUUGGUCAGCCUGGAUCAACUGUGCUUGAUCGUUUCACGUUUUAUGUUGAGGAUCUUAAAAGCACAUCAUCAUGAUGAGAAGAAGAUAAUAAAAGACAUUCUAAAGGAUAAAGGAUUUGUAGUAGAAGUAAAUACUACUUUUGAAGAUUUCAUGGCAAUAAUCAGUUCAACUAAAAGGUCAACCACAUUAGAUUCUGGAAAUAUUAAACUUGCUUUCAGUAGUUUGCUAGAAAAGGCAGAAGCCCGUGAACAUGAAAGAGAAAAAGAGGAGGCUCGGAAAAUGAAACGCAAAGAGACUGUCUUUAAGAGUAUGUUGAAACAAACUGCUCCUCCAAUAGAAUUAGAUGCUGUUUGGGAAGAUAUCCGAGAGAGAUUUGUAAAAGAGCCUGCAUUUGAAGACAUAAGUCUAGAAUCUGAAAGAAAACGAAUAUUUAAAGAUUUUAUGCAUGUACUUGAGCAUGAAUGUCAACAUCAUCAUUCAAAAAACAAGGAACAUUCUAAGAAAUCUAAGAAACAUCAUAGGAAAUGUUCUCACUCUCGAUCGGGGUCAGAUUCAGAUGAUGACGAUAGCCAUUCAAAGAAGAAAAGACAGCGAUCUGAGUCGCGCUCUGCUUCGGAGCAUUCUUCUAGUGCUGAGUCUGAGAGAAGUUAUAAAAAGUCAAAAAAGCAUAAGAAGAGAAGACAUAAAUCUGACUCUCCAGAAUCAGAUACUGAGCGAGACAAGGACAAAAAAGAAAAGGAUCGUGAAAGUGAAAAGGACAGAAGCAGGCAAAGAUCAGAGUCAAAACACAAAUCACCUAAGACAAAGACUGGAAAGGAUUCUGGUAAUUGGGAUACUUCUGGCAGUGAACUGAGUGAAGGCAAAUUAGAAAAGCGCAGAAGGACCCUUUUUGAGCAACUGGAUGAUGAUCAAUAAAUUAUACCG